rnacentral:rRNA from 1 species
UGUCCGGAAUUAUUGGGCGUAAAGGGCUCGUAGGCGGUUUGUCGCGUCGGGAGUGAAAACACCAGGCUUAACUUGGUGCCUGCUUCCGAUACGGGCAGACUGGAGGCAUGCAGGGGAGAACGGAAUUCCUGGUGUAGCGGUGAAAUGCGCAGAUAUCAGGAGGAACACCGGUGGCGAAGGCGGUUCUCUGGGCAUGUCCUGACGCUGAGGAACGAAAGUGUGGGGAGCGAACAGGAUUAGAUACCCUGGUAGUCCACACCGUAAACGUUGGGCGCUAGGUGUGGGGCCUCGUUUGUGGGUUCCGUGCCGCAGCUAACGCAUUAAGCGCCCCGCCUGGGGAGUACGGCCGCAAGGCUAAAACUCAAAGGAAUUGACGGGGGCCCGCACAAGCGGCGGAGCAUGCGGAUUAAUUCGAUGCAACGCGAAGAACCUUACCUGGGUUUGACAUAGAGGAUGCGCCGGCAGAGAUGUCGGUUCCGUAAGGGUUCUCUACAGGUGGUGCAUGGCUGUCGUCAGCUCGUGUCGUGAGAUGCUGGGUUAAGUCCCGCAACGAGCGCAACCCUCGUUCUAUGUUGCCAGCACGCGCCUUCGGGUGUGGUGGGGACUCAUGGGAGACUGCCGGGGUCAACUCGGAGGAAGGUGGGGAUGACGUCAAGUCAUCAUGCCCCUUAUGUCCAGGGCUUCACGCAUGCUACAAUGGCCGGUACAAAGGGUUGCGAUGCCGUGAGGUGGAGCGAAUCCCAAAAAGCCGGUCUCAGUUCGGAUUGGGGUCUGCAACUCGACCCCAUGAAGUCGGAGUCGCUAGUAAUCGCAGAUCAGCAACGCUGCGGUGAUACGUUCCCGG